AAGGAACACGGUGCGAAUCCGUGGCUGUCCCGCAACUGUGAGGGGGAGCCGCCCCGAGACGACGCCACUGCCGCGACACGGUGGGAAGGCGGGGGCCGGUGCCCGAACCCGAGCCAGGAGACUU
rnacentral:ncRNA from 2 species